CCCUUAGAUGGUCUGGGCGGCACGCGCGCUACAACGAUGCAUUCAAAAAGUCUUCUGACCUUAGAAGGUUGGGUAUUCUCCAAAGUGCAUCGUGAUGGGAAUAGUUUAUUGCAAUUUUUAAUCUUGAACGAGGAAUUCCUAGUAAGUACAGGUCAUCAACUUGUGUUGAUUACGUCCCUGCCCUUUGUACACACCGCCCGUCGCUACUACCGAUUGAAUGGUUUAGUGAGAUCCUUGGAUCGGCCCUGUCGCGGCUGGCAACGGCCGCGUCGGCGCGUCGAGAAGACGAUCAAACUUGAUCAUUUAGAGGAAGUAAAAGUCGUAACA
rnacentral:rRNA from 1 species